AGAUUGCUGACAGCGGAGGGACAUUAGCGAGUUAAUUACAAGCUCCAAACCCAUGUGAACAUACCUACUGUUGCCUCGGCAGGUCGUGCUGCGCGGCAGGACGGCGGCCCCGCCGGGGGGUUAGCUACCCUGGAGUAGCUGCCCCGCGGCCGGGGUCGCCUGCCCCGCAGCACGCCAACAGGCCUGCCGAAGGACCCCUAAACUCUGUUUUACACCUGUAUCUCUGAGUCUAUUAUACAAAUAAGUUAAAACUUUCAACAACGGAUCUCUUGGUUCUGGCAUCGAUGAAGAACGCAGCGAAAUGCGAUAAGUAAUGUGAAUUGCAGAAUUCAGUGAAUCAUCGAAUCUUUGAACGCACAUUGCGCCUAACAGUAUUCUGUUAGGCAUGCCUGUUCGAGCGUCAUUUCAACCCCCAAGCCCUAUUUGCUUGACGUUGGGAGUUUACGGAGACGUAAUUCCUUAAAUAUAGUGGCGGAGCUGGGUCGUGCUCUAAGCGUAGUAACCACAUUCUCGCUUCUGCAGCCGGCCUAGGUCUUGCCGUAAAACCCCCUAUAUUUUUUUUACUGGUGACCUCGGAUCAGGUAUGCAAAAGAAACCAACAGGGAUUGCCCUAGUAACGGCGAGUGAAGCGGCAACAGCUCAAAUUUGAAAUCUGGCCUUCGGGUCCGAGUUGUAAUUUGCAGAGGAUGCUUUUGGCGCGGUGCCUUCCGAGUUCCCUGGAACGGGACGCCUUAGAGGGUGAGAGCCCCGUACGGUUGGACACCAAGCCUCUGUAAAGCUCCUUCGACGAGUCGAGUAGUUUGGGAAUGCUGCUCUAAAUGGGAGGUAAAUUUCUUCUAAAGCUAAAUACCGGCCAGAGACCGAUAGCGCACAAGUAGAGUGAUCGAAAGAUGAAAAGCACUUUGAAAAGAGGGUUAAAUAGCACGUGAAAUUGUUGAAAGGGAAGCGUUUACGGCCAGACCUUCUCCUGGCGGAUCAUCUGGUGUUCUCACCAGUGCACUUCGCCAGGUCUAGGCCAGCAUCGGCUUCCGUAGGGGGAUAAAAGCAGUGGGAAAGUAGCUCCCUCGGGAGUGUUAUAGCCCUAAGCAUAAUGCCCUUACGGGGGCCGAGGACCGCGCUCUUGCAAGGAUGCUGGCGUAAUGGUCGUCAACGACCCG
rnacentral:rRNA from 1 species